CAGAUAGUAGUUUAAUAAAAAAUAUCGGCAUUGGAAGCUGAAGUUCAAAAUUAUUGUUUGUUAUCUGA
rnacentral:tRNA from 1 species